ensembl:lncRNA
AGAGAGAGAGAUAAAUACAUAGAUAGAUAGAUAGAUAGAUAGAUAGAUAGAUAGAUAGAUAGACAGACAGGCAGAGAGACAGACAGACACAGACAGACAGACAGACAGAGAGAUAGAUAGAUAGAUAGACAUAGAGACAGACAGACAGACCGACCGACACAGACAGACAGACAGACAGACAGACAUAGAGACAGACAGACAGACAGACAGACAGACAGACAGAUAGACAGACAGACAGACAUAGAGACAGACAGACAGACAGACAGACAGACAGACACAGACAGACAGACAGACAGACAGACAGACAGACAGAUAGAUAGAUAGAUAGAUAGAUAGACAUAGAGACAGACAGACAGACAGACAGACAGACAGACAGACAGACAGACAGACAGACAGACAUAGAGACAGACAGACAGACAGACAGACAGACAGACAGAUAGACAUAGAGACAGACAGACAGACAGACAGACAGACAGACAGACAGACAGAUAGGUAGAUAGAUAGAUAGACAUAGAGACAGACAGACAGACAGACAGACAGAUAGGUAGGUAGAUAGAUAGACAUAGAGACAGACAGACAGAUAGAUAGAUAGAUAGAUAGAUAGAUAGAUAGAUAGACAUAGAGACAGACAGACAGACAGACAGACAGAUAGGUAGAUAGAUAGAUAGACAUAGAGACAGACAGACAGACAGACAGACAGACAGAUAGACAUAGAGACAGACAGACAGACAGACAGACAGACAGACAGACAGACAGAUAGGUAGAUAGAUAGAUAGACAUAGAGACAGACAGACAGACAGACAGACAGAUAGGUAGGUAGAUAGAUAGACAUAGAGACAGACAGACAGACAGACAGACAGACAACACAUAAGUUGCAUGAAAUAGAGCAGACGGACCCCUUCGUUGAGCACACAGUGGAUGAGGAAGAUGAAGGUGCCCUGUUGGGAGGUGAGGUAGAGGAAGAGAGUCUCCACAAAGUCGCUCGAGGAGGCGAAGAGGCCCAGGAUCCAGGGGCACCCGAGGGCAAUGAACUGAUAAGAGGUUUUGAUCACCAGUACCCUGCAAAGAGGAGGACAUGUUGUAG